GAGGACACAGCGGAAGUGCUUAGAAAGAUGGGAAAAUGUGCCUACCCUCGUCCAGUUCAACCUCGUACGGUGCCGGGCGGCGUUUGACUCUGCUGCUGAUGGGGUACAUGCCGAACUGCUCGACCUCCCCUGCGAGACUGAGCCACAGAAGACAAAUAUGACCUUGCGUGUGCAUGUUCCACAGACAAGACGGAUGUUUUCCAAAAGUCAGUCACGAUGUCUGCUGGACCACCAUGCUGCAGUCACGACCACGCAGUCACGAUCAUCUCCUCCUGCAUCCGCUAGCGAGUACUGUAAUGUACGGUGAAGUGCUGCACGUAUAGUGACUCACUCCAUGGACAGUUGUCUGUUUGGUCCAGCUGGGCGGGGACGUUUUUUUCCAGUCAAUUAUGGGUAAGCACACCAUUUAUGUCCAAAUAGUUUGGCUUCAAAUUCCACAUGUUGCAGCUUCGAGUGACUUUCAUCUCACUCUAUCGGCUUCUGUCUGCUCCAACAUCUCACUCUUCCUUCUUGCCGAUUUCU